GUUGUAUGACAUAAAUCUAUUCAAAAAUAACACUAAUUUAUAUAUCCAAAGGUAUUUAACAUUGCUGCAGACAUUUUCCUUCCAUACUUCUGUAGACAGCUUCUAGUUGUCCUUAUGACAUCACGAUGAUGUAACGAUACUGAGCCGGGUAUGUAAAGGGAGACCGGCCGGCUGAGUCCUUUGAGGGUUGUAGGUGAGCAGAGGAGGUUGUGUUCCUGAGGUUCAGUUGGUGCAGUUUGUGGUUGCGGCCAUUAUGGCAGUGUACAUUUUUGGGCGAGUGCUGAAUUACAUCUGGCACAAAAUGAUGGAUUUGGGCAGAGGGAGUCUGGAGAGGAAAAGAGAGCCUGACCCCGAGAAUCCAUUGGAAGAUCCAAUUGAAAAUCCAUUAAAAGAUUCCUUUGAAGAUCCAUGGUAUGAAAUUAAGGAGGAAGAGAUAAUUGAAUGGAUCAAUCCAGUGGCGGGCUAAGGGCUAAAGAAAAAAAACAUGUAGAAGAUUCCAUCAUACUUACAAUGUUUAUUUAACAUCAAACUAUAAUAUAAAAUCAGUUAAAAAAUAAACAUUAAAAAAUCU